GAUGUGCAGGAAUGAUGAAUCAAUUAGAUGUGCAGGAAUGAUGAGUCACUCAUACCUAGCAAUAAGAUAACACAGGGUAUAUU
rnacentral:snoRNA from 1 species